AUUGAACGCUGGCGGCAGGCCUAACACAUGCAAGUCGAGCGGAGCGGCGGACGGGUGAGUAAUGCCUAGGAAUCUGCCUGGUAGUGGGGGAUAACGUCCGGAAACGGGCGCUAAUACCGCAUACUAUCAGAUGAGCCUAGGUCGGAUUAGCUAGUUGGUGGGGUAAAGGCCUACCAAGGCGACGAUCCGUAACUGGUCUGUGAGGAUGAUCAGUCACACUGGAACGGAGACGCGGGCCAGAAUCCGACGGAAGGCAGCAGUGGGGAAUAGUGGACAAUGGGCGAAAACCUGAUCCAGCCGUGCCGCGUGUGUGAAGGAGGUCUUGGGAUUGUAAAGCACUUUAAGUUGGGAGACGUUACCAACAGAAUAAGCACCGGCUAACUUCGUGCCAGCAGCCGCGGUAAGAA
rnacentral:rRNA from 1 species